AUUGAACGCUGGCGGCAGGCCUAACACAUGCAAGUCGAGCGGAUGAAGGGAGCUUGCUCCUGGAUUCAGCGGCGGACGGGUGAGUAAUGCCUAGGAAUCUGCCUGGUAGUGGGGGAUAACGUCCGGAAACGGGCGCUAAUACCGCAUACGUCCUGAGGGAGAAAGUGGGGGAUCUUCGGACCUCACGCUAUCAGAUGAGCCUAGGUCGGAUUAGCUAGUUGGUGGGGUAAAGGCCUACCAAGGCGACGAUCCGUAACUGGUCUGAGAGGAUGAUCAGUCACACGGGAAUGAGAAAAGGGUCAAGACACCUACGGGAGGCGCAAGAGGGGAACAUUGGACAAGGGGGGAAAUCCUACUCCAGCCAGCCGGGGGGGGGGAGAAAGGUCUUGGGAUGGUAAAGCACGUUAAAUGGGGAGAAAGGGCAGUAAGGUAAUAAGUUGCUGUUGUGACGUUACCAACAGAAUAAGCACCGGCUAACUACGUG
rnacentral:rRNA from 1 species